UUGAGAGGGACAUUUAGCUAAAUAACAAUUCUGUGCCUUGAAAUGCUUUCUAUGAGUACACCCAAAUUUGGCUUACAAGUGAGCUAAUAUUUUCCAAGCACUGUAGGAAAAACUGAAAUUGGUCUUAUUCGCCCAGCAGAGGCCUCUGAACUGCUCUCUUAGCAAACCAUUCAGUAUGUGGCAGCUAUGGUGAACUUUUGAAAACACAGAACUGAUCAUGUCUCUUCCCUGCUUAAUAUUCUUCAAUGAUUUCCUAUUGCUUUUAAGAUCAAAUUCAAAAGACCUGAAACACCCUCUGUGAUAUAGCUCAUAGAACUAUAUGUCAUUGAGCAGACAAUUUUAACCCAUGGGAUUAGGGAAGGUCUUCUUCGGAAAAGUUUCCCAUGCUGAAACAAGAAGCAGAGAAGAAAGAAGAACCAUUUCUGCCUUGGAGCCCAAAUGUCUAAAGAAGCAAGAGGUUACCUUGACAAGGCUCAGUGAAUGACAAUUAACCAAUUAGCUUUGCUACUCCCAUCUAUUAGUGGUGGGAUGCAGAACAAUGUGAAUUUGGGAGAGGAUGGUUUGAAUACUGUGCUAUAUUGGCUACAGCCGCCUAUCCAAAGACUGUCUUUGGAAGAGCUGAAUAUGAAGGAACUGUUCUUCCCUGAGCUCCCUGUGAGUAGGAUCUGCUUUGUAAACCAAGGACAUGCAGAAGCGUGGGAGGAAGCAGCACCUGAACCUGGAGCCAGUGACUAGGAGAUGAGCUCAGUCCUUGGCCAAGCCUGCUGCAGGUGUUGACUUUUUCUGCUAAAAAACCUGGUCCUCUCUCCCUUUCUUUCUUCCUUGCCAGUCUAAAUAAAAUCUGCCAUUUGCCUCUCAUGUUCCCCAAAGUCUUGCCUUUUGGAAGAAAAAAAUGCCUGUCAAGUUUUACCCCAAAAGAUAUUGGAAGGCAAGUUUCAAGCCACCAAACCUGAUAUUAUUUCC
rnacentral:lncRNA from 1 species